ensembl:lncRNA
CCGGAUUUAGUGCUACAUGUGGUAUUUUAAUAGAAAAGGCUGCGAGACAGUGUUUGGAUCCCCGUUUUUUCAUGUUGUCUGCAAAUCUCAAAAGUGAGUGUUAAACUUUAACCUUACCUGUUCGCUGCAAUAAAAAUACAGAUUUGUUAAAAAGUUAUGUUUGUUAUAACAGUAAGAAUAUGCUUACCUAGUUUUGCUAUGAACAUUUGUAAUUGUCAUGGUCCUGGGUUGCUGAAUCAGUGUUUUGAGUUUAUUUUCUAGUUUCUUCUGUUUUUGUAUUCGCUCUUAGGGGCUGGGUCUUGUGUUUAGUGUUUCUGUUAUCCCUCCCUGUUUCCUUUCCUGGUGUUCUUAUUUUGAAUGGUAAAUGGCCUGGAUUUAUAUAGCGCUUUACUAGUCCCUAAGGACCCCAAAGCGCUUUACAUAUCCAGUCAUCCACCCAUUCACACACUGGUGAUGGUAAGCUACAUUGUAGCCACAGCCACCCUGGGGCGCACUGACAGAGGCGAGGCUGCCGGACACUGGCGCCACCGGGCCCUCUGACCACCACCAGUAGGCAACGGGUGAAGUGUCUUGCCCAAGGACACAACGGCCAAGACUGUCCAAGCCGGGGCUCGAACCAGCAACCUUCCGAUUACAAGGCGAACUCCCAACUCUUGAGCCCCAAGAUUAAGUUAACUUUCGUUUAUGUUUGAAAUUAUUGGGUUGAUUUUUGUUUAUAUUUUUCAACGAAAUAAACGCCAGAACUUAAAAGGCCGUGACACUGGUACUCAUUUCUUGUCGUCUCACUGCCCUCGUUCUUUUCGCCUCCGUGCUCCCCUGGUUCAUCUUCGCUCACUUCAUCUGCACUUGGCUAGUUUUAUUCUUCUUCGCUUGCACAGCCAAGACGAACUUCAUGGAAAGUCCUUGUGGAGAAUGGCUUCAUCGAGCCACUGUUGGCCUCAUUUGGUAUUUCGACUGGUUUAAUUUUGCCGAGGUGAAGACGCGGUACAGGACUGCGCCGUUUCACCGGUUUAUACUGAGUGAUAUUUGCAUCCUCUGUGCUGUGUGGUGCUGGAAGAUGAGCACACAUCCUCCUGAUUUUGUGAAAGAGCCCGUGUCAGCUUUAAUUAUUGCUGCCAGAAUCUCCUCCAAUGAUUACAUCCCGCGGUUAAAGGAUUUUUCUGUUGUUUAUUGUUUAGUUUAACUGUUGUUAGCUUGCCACAUUCUUGCCUUAGUACUAGCAACUGGGAAGAUAUGUGCUAUUUAGCCAACUUCUGGUCUUACAGCGACCCCUUGUGGACCCUACUAAUUAUAGUAUUACCUGUUUCUGUUUCCAGACAACCAUGCUUAUAGUCACCUAUACUGCAUCUGCCACAAUUAUAAGUGCAUAUCUGGCUGUAUCACGGUUGGAUUAAUCAUGGCAAGCCCUGCUGUAACCAGUUCUUCUGUGAAGCUUCAUUAAAGACGGUGAACUAAACUCCUGGACUGCUGCAGUCUUUCUGACCCAAGACUUAGGCCAGACUUGUAUACCCAGCACUUCCAGUUCAUAUAUAUUCUACACAAAUGUUUAUCAGUUGAAGAAUCAGACUCCUUUUAAACAUUAUAUUUGUACUAAAUGUGUAUGUAAAUAUGGUGUCUGUAUAUUUAAUGCCUAUAUUUGUGACUGUGUUUCUGUUGUAGUUUAUUCCUGUAUGAAUGUUAAAUACUUGACUGAAAGUAUUCAAAAUGUAUUUGCAUUGCUUUACAGAAAAAGGGAAAAAUCGUAGGACUGUGGGGGAAAGAGUGAUUACCUCAGUUAAACAACUCGUGUAAUUAUAUUAGGUUCAUCUUUAAGGAACUCUGCAUGUCUCCAAACAGCUUUGAAUGUCUUUGAAAUGAGAAUAAUACAAAUAGAAAAAGAAAAAAAUGGACACAUGCAGACAAAGUAAAGAGAUGAAUAUUCAGUAAGCUAUAAAGAUUCAAAGGUCUCUCAGUUUUUCUCAAAUGUGUGUGAGGACUGCUUGUUUGUAUUCUUGGAUGCACUUAGUAAAUCCAACAGCUCAGCUAUUUGUUGUUUGUUGUUUUUAAAAGUUGCAGGAAGAACAAACUUCUUAAAUAGUAAAUGAAACAAAGCACAAAUGCAAAGUUGUUGUUUUUUUUUCAUUUUUAUUUUUUUAUUUUUUUUCUGUUUUUUAACUCAAAAAGUCCAGUUACAACAGGACAUUUUGAGUUAAGAAACAGACCAAAUCUCAACAACACUUCCCUCAUGGUGCUUUAUAAUGUAAAGUCAAGACCCUACAAUAAUGCACAAAGACUCCAAUCCCCUAGAGCAAGCACUUUGGCGACAGUGGGAAGGAAAAACUCACUUUUAAAAGAGAGAAACCUCCGGCAGACCCAGGCUCUAGGAUGGGGUGGCCAUCUGCCUCAGCCAGUUGGUGAUGAGGGAAGGAAGUUGGGAGAAGAAGAGUAGUGAUUUUUAACCACUCUGGUUUCAAAAUUAAAUUUAGAAAGCCCAAUUGAAAUGAAUAUUCACAUGCACGUGUUGGUUCGAUUUUAGCGUGCACAUGAGAAAGCCCUAAAGAUGAUGUUUUGGCUCCUCAAUUUUGCAUGUUUUUUGAAGCUGCUGACGAUUGCUUCAUCCAUUACUGGGUUUCUUGACCACAUUAAGAGCAUUGGAGAAUCCCACCUGUCAUGGAGUUCAUUGUAUAUUGUCAGGGCGAGUUCUCCAAUGUUCUCCAAGGACAUUUUGUACUUUUUUGACAAAAUUUUGUCCCAGAUCUUCUGGAAAAGCCUC